AUCACAAUUGCCCAAGAGCCAGGUACCUACUCAGAGAGCUUGGGCACCCUCCAUUCUACUUCGGUAUCUUACCUCCUAUCUCAAUAUCCUCUUAGAAAGAGGCUCAUUCUUUCCCCUGCAGGUCUGGUUCCUCACCCUCUGGGCUUCCUCAGAGGAGCCCCUGUCCUUGAAGCCGACAAUAUUCAUGCCCAAGCUGAUGCCUCUAUUCCUCUGUUACUACAGCAUCCCAGCCACACAGAGCCCAGCACUGCAGGGAAAGGAAGGGGGCCCUGACAAGGACUCUCCAUGGAAUCUUCCUUCUUGAAACUUGGGAGAGUUGACAUGUUUUAAAUAAAUAGUGGGAAAGACGAAGAGAUGGCUAAAGAGACUUUUUUUUUUAAAGAAAACAAAAGCUACAGAGCUAUUAAGUCAUGAAAGCUGUGGUUUCCUGAAUUAGACAUUUUGAUUUUUAAGACCACUAAUGUAGUUUGGCGAUAAGGGGAAGAAGAGAGUAAAAUAAGGGAGACUGAGCUGCCUGACCAUUCUGACACCGCCGAGGAAUACAAAAAUACGAGAAAGGGAUAACAGAGAUCAAGUCCUACAUGGCACUGGCCCCAUUAUGAUGCAAUCUAACCUCCAGUUCAAAGAAAGGUCAAAAAUAUUCUUCAUUAAUUUGUUUUUCAAAUUUGGAGAUUUUUCUUUCAAGUUACCCUGUGUUGGCAGGGCAGGGGAUUUCAGUGAGUUAGCCCAGAAAACGGUCAGGAAGGUGUUUUUUGACAUGUGGUGGGGCACACAGUAAGUACAUCUCCUGUCUCGUUUUCCUCUGAUGGUGGGAGAAAGACAGCGGGGGCUGGGGACAGCGGCGUCCAGCACCGGUGGUGAGUGACAGGGAUACCAACAGGAAAUUGCUGAAUUUCUACAGGAGAAAGUGUAUCAGGAAAUGACCUCAGCGGUCUCGGCGGGGACUAGAACACUGCAGAGACGGACUGGGGUGUGGAGGUUAAGAAUAGACACUCAUCUCUUGCUAGAACAUACACGGGCCUCGUGACGGAGCGCUCACCUCCGUUAAACUGCAGCACACCGAGAUGUGUCUUGUGGAGCCUCAGCAAUGCCAAGGGCCCCACGAAAAUCACAAGAACAACAACCAAACACAAGCUCAGCUAUUUCAGAACACAUCCCUGAGAAUGGGCCAAAGACGAUAACUUAGGAAGUGUGGGAGCAUCUAUUUUCUCCUGUUAUAACAUCACUGCAUUUUGAAAAUGUCAUCAGAGCACACUCCAAAUAGUCGCAAGCAGGAGAGCAAUGUGAGGGAGAAGAGAAUGUACUGAGAACAUGUUCCCAACGGAAGUUCAGGCCGAGGAAUGCAAACAUCUACAGGAAUGGGGAAGUUCAGAAAGGGAGCCUUCUUGACUGGGACAGCCCAAUCCCCACUGGACCCAAGAACUUUGAAUGGAGGGCAAGAGACACUCAAAGAAUUUUUAAGGGGGAAAAAAUGGGGAGGAAACAGCAGAAGUAACAGAACAUUAAUAACACUGAGAUAAAAAUGCUAAGAACAACAAAACAUUUUAAACACUCAUGACCUGCCUUAACCCAGCAGCCUCGUCUCUGUCCGGAGAGAAUGUGUUUGCUGGAACUAGUAGGAAACAGAGGCCUGCGCGGCCCAAGGCUCCUUAACAAGCCACCUCCAUCGGCGGGACCACCAGGGCCGGUGAGCUGCCACGAUGGUUUUCUAAACAGCCUGUAAAGACUGAGAUCUCCAGCCUGCAGAAUCGUCCAAUUCCCCCCACUGAGAAGACUUAACGAAUUCAGUUUCUCGGUGGGGCUCCCUAGCAGUCACCGCCCAGGAGCCCCAGAGUUAAAAUCUUCCUUUAAAACUUGACAGUGCGGGCCACUAAAACGUGGGCAGAAGGAAGAUGAAAAGCAGACAUCGCCGUCUCUCCUCUCUACUAGCCCUUUGGAAGGUGCCCGAGGACAGUGGAAGCGCGUCUGUCUGCAGGCCUGUGCCCGCAGCCCUGACCUCAGGGAACUCGAGGGGCUAGGUGUGGCGAGGAGGAUGUGCAGGUGACGGCGAUCAGUAUGAGUGCGUUUGAUGAAACUCCUGCAAGCAGAUGACCAUGAAAAAGGGCGUGCUGAUUUUCAGUUACCCCUUGAUGUGGUAGAGUGAAGUGAAAGAGGCUGGGUUUUAGUCAGACUCUGCUGAACCGAACUGAACUCCUCAGGGCCUGUUUCCUCGUUUGCAAAACCGAGAGAAUCACUGUACCUACUUCAAAGGCUGCUCGUGGGGAUUAAGUGAAAUAAAUAAUGGGUAAAAAGUGCUUACCAGGAUGUCUGGUGAGGAGUAAGCACCGGGCAAAUGCUGCUGUUAGGAUGUUUGGGGGGGGGGGGAGUGACUAACAAGUAAAUAUGUGAUUACCACGACACCCCAGAGCUGCUCAGGGCAGGAGCAGCGGCAGCCAUCUCUACCCUCAAAUAUCAACAGUAUCAGUGAAAAGGCCAUGACACUGGUCUCCCCCACAAAGAAAGGCAUAAAUGUGCCUCACUCUGGCCUCUACUCCAAGACCCAUCAUAUUUUACAUAUCUAAAAUUCUCCAAGAGGU